GGACGAAGGGCUGGGGGUGGGGAGAGUGGCCUCCCCUGGGGGGGCAGGCUGGGCUGGGGCUCGAUUGGGGAGGGUCCCAGGCCCUGCUUGUCUACACCCUCACCGGGUCCCCAGCCCCCUGAGGCUGGAGGGAGCAGGGGCUGGAAGGGCGAGCAGAGACAGGCAGCAAAGCGGCAGGUGGUGGGCGGGCCGCACAGGGGAGCUCAGCGCCUCCACUUCCUGUGGGCCAAGGCCCGCCCGGGGCGCUUGCACAAACCGCCUUGCACAGACCUCAUUGCCCCUCUGCCCUGGCCUCCCUGGGGCUGCCCUCCCCGGCUCCCGGGCUGUGCCCUCUGGCCCCGCAGGGCUGGCAAGGGCCGGGCCGGACACCGUUCCUUCCUCAUUUUGCUGCUGAUCCCGGCCCCGAGGAAACAGGUCAGGCCUUCUCCCCCUCCAGCUCUCUCUGGCCACAGCUGCCUCCUGAGCGCUGCAGCCGGCGCCGGCCGGUGGAGGGAAGGGGGGGAGGCCUGGCCAGGGCUCCUGGCUCCUGGCUCCUGGCCCUCGGGCAGCCCUGCCUGUGGCCACAGCGCCAGCGUCGUCGCCGCCGGAGACCCAAGGAUGAUGCCCCAGCUGCAGUUCCGAGAUGCGUUUUGGGUGAGUGGAGGCGACGAGGAUGACGGACAAGUGGCAGGGCCAGGCCCAGUUCCCCUGGCAGUUGUCGGGGCUGCCGCUCGGUGGCUGGGUCUGGUCUUAACUGCCGCGGAGGUAGCCUGGGCCACUGUCCCCUGUGAGCUGGGAGGCGGAGGUGGCGCCUUGCCCAGGGUGCUGACUUUGUCGCCUGGUGGGGAGGGAACUUGUCCCGUGGGACACCCUUUGCCUCCCCCACCCCGCCCCAGCAGGAGCCUUUGCCGUGUGUGGGUGGGGGCUGAAGGUAGCACCAGGGAAAGGGGGCACCGGGCUUGGGUUUGGGUUUUGGCUCCGUUAUUUACGGGCUGGGCAAGUCAUUUUAUGCCGCUGAGCCUUAGUGUCUCCAGCCAUGUAACAGAGACAGAUAACAAUGGAGACAGCAGCCAGGCAGGGGGAGGAAGCAAGGUGCACCUUGCCCUGCACCAAAGGAUGACGCCCCUCCCCUCGUACCACCGCUGGCCCUGUGGGCCCCAGCGUCCUUCCACGAGGCAGCUGGGCUGGGCAGUUCCUCGCUUGCUUUCUUAG
rnacentral:lncRNA from 1 species